rnacentral:rRNA from 1 species
AGCGAACGCUGGCGGCAGGCCUAACACAUGCAAGUCGAACGAACCUUUCGGGGUUAGUGGCGGACGGGUGAGUAACACGUGGGAACGUGCCUUUAGGUUCGGAAUAACUCAGGGAAACUUGUGCUAAUACCGAAUGUGCCCUUCGGGGGAAAGAUUUAUCGCCUUUAGAGCGGCCCGCGUCUGAUUAGCUAGUUGGUUGAGGUAAUGGCUCACUAAGGCGACGAUCAGUAGCUGGUCUGAGAGGAUGAUCAGCCACAUUGGGACUGAGACACGGCCCAAACUCCUACGGGAGGCAGCAGUGGGGAAUCUUGCGCAAUGGGCGAAAGCCUGACGCAGCCAUGCCGCGUGAAUGAUGAAGGUCUUAGGAUUGUAAAAUUCUUUCACCGGGGACGAUAAUGACGGUACCCGGAGAAGAAGCCCCGGCUAACUUCGU